GACGAACGCUGGCGGCGUGCUUAACACAUGCAAGUCGAACGGAAAGGCCCUGCUUUUGUGGGGUGCUCGAGUGGCGAACGGGUGAGUAACACGUGAGUAACCUGCCCUUGACUUUGGGAUAACUUCAGGAAACUGGGGCUAAUACCGGAUAGGAGCUCCUGCUGCAUGGUGGGGGUUGGAAAGUUUCGGCGGUUGGGGAUGGACUCGCGGCUUAUCAGCUUGUUGGUGGGGUAGUGGCUUACCAAGGCUUUGACGGGUAGCCGGCCUGAGAGGGUGACCGGCCACAGUGGGGCUGAGAUACGUCCCAGACUCCUACGGGAGGCAGCAGUGGGGAAUAUUGCACAAUGGGCGGAAGCCUGAUGCAGCAACGCCGCGUGCGGGAUAACGGCCUUCGGGUUGUAAACCGCUUUCGCCUGUGACGAAGAGUGAGUGACGGUAAUGGGUAAAGAAGCACCGGCUAACUACGUG
rnacentral:rRNA from 1 species